AUUCUACUUGCCAACCGAACAAUAAUUGCGGAAGAAGUACACUUCGUUCCGUAGCACUCGAUUCAUCCAAUCGGUCUAGUGGUUACUAUUGCGACGCCAUUACUGGAGAGCACAGGGUCCACUCUGAGAAUUUAAUCGGUUUUACGGGUCCUGACGGUGAGAAGGGGAAACAUAUAAUGGCGUUUCUUCCAUACUUAUCCUGGUUUGUUUGUGGUUGGGCUCGUCCUUCUCCGGCCGAUGGCGUCUUUCACUGUGGAGGAGUUUGUGGGCAAUGGGGUUCUAAGGGAGAUACUCCCCAAGCUUGUUGAAGAUGGCUGGGAUGAUGUACCCACUCUCAAGCUGAUGAACUUGGAGGACAUGCACGCUAUCAACAUGACUACCAGGCAGAAAGAUGCUUUGGAAAUCAGAUCAUAUUUACACGACCGUUCAUUGAUGCAAUACGGAGAUACAUUGGAAGCAUCUGGGAAAUCUUUACCUGAACUUCUUAACUGUAGUGCCAGUGUUCUUUCUUCGCAAUUUGGUAUGAAAAGAGGCCAUAUUGCUCGGUUCACUGACAGAACCACCGCCUGUGGAAUCUCGACGCAACCUCCCUACAGAAGACGAUCUCUUUCUUCGACAAGCACCAAUUGGAAUGGCAGUGAGUUGAGGUAUACUGCAUCCCAAAAGAUUCAGACAUCUUCACUCUUAAGUCGUAGAACAAACUCGAUUGCUAGUGAAAAAUCUAUAGCGGAACUGAGAAUCAAAGAAGGGCAUUCUUUCAAGGGUAUUGUUGCGUCGGCAGUUGCUGAGCCAAGGCCCGAUGAUCCAGUGAAACCUCCUCAUAUGACUCAGGAUGUUGUCCCUUAUUCCACGAUUGAAAACAUCACAGUUCAGAAACUGGUACCAGAAUAUAAGAUUGGUAUGGAGCCACUAGUGAAACUGAAACCCAUGACCAUGAAAUCUUCUGAUUUAUGGCAUGAAAGGCCAGUUGUAUUGCUGUGUCUUCGGCGGCCUGGGUGCAUCAUGUGCCGAGCUCAAGCUCACCAAUUCUAUUCAAGGAAACCCGUCUUUGAUGCUAUGGGAGUUCAGCUGAUUGCGGUUCUUCAUCAACAAAUAGAGUCAGAGGUGAAAGAUUUCUGGCCUCGAUACUGGGGAGGAGCUGUGAUUCUGGAUAGCAACAUGGGGUUCUUCAAGGCUCUUGGUGGAGGGAAGGUGAUAAGGCACAAUUUCGUGACGGGAUUCCUUCUGAACCCACAGGCAAUUGCAAAUUACUGGCGGGCUAAAGCAACGGGUCUCGACUCCAAUGUGAACGGUGAUGGAAAUGUCAACGGUGGGCUUUUCGUGGUUGCUAGUGGGAAAAGUGGUGUGGCCUACCAGUUUGUGGAGAGGAAUUUUGGUGAUUGGGCUCCCAUUGCUGAAGUUAUUGAGAUAUGUAGCCGGUUACAGCUUGUCUGCAGUUAGAGCUCUUGCUUUUGAUUAGACAAACACUGUUAGGACCGGUUACUGGAAGGUUUUAGCAAGCUUGUGUCGAAGAAAUAGAAACAAUCGUGUGCUGCCAUAGCAAAAAGAAGUAGUCAUCUGAGCCAUUGAAGUGACUGACAACCUGAGCUGCUUACUGUACAGCUUUUUGAGCUUCCUCAGAUCCUUGUCUUUCAUUCAUUUGAUCAAUUGUUAAGACUAAAUAAUUAUGUAGAAUAAAUUUUCUGUAGAAAGGAAAACUUUUACGAUUA